UACGGAGGAUGCGAGCGUUAUCCGGAUUUAUUGGGUUUAAAGGGUGCGUAGGCGGGUUAUCAAGUCAGCGGUAAAAUACGGGGGCUCAACCUCCGCCCGCCGUUGAAACUGACGGUCUUGAGUGGGCGAGAAGUAUGCGGAAUGCGUGGUGUAGCGGUGAAAUGCAUAGAUAUUAGGAGGAACACCAGUGGCGAAGGCGGCCUGCUGGACGGUGACUGACGCUGAGGCUCGAAAGCGUGGGGAGCAAACAGG
rnacentral:rRNA from 1 species